AACGAACGCUGGCGGCAUGCCUAAUACAUGCAAGUCGAACGAGAUCUUCGGAUCUAGUGGCGCACGGGUGCGUAACGCGUGGGAAUCUGCCCUUGUGUUCGGAAUAACUUCUGGAAACGGAAGCUAAUACCGGAUGAUGACGUAAGUCCAAAGAUUUAUCGCCCAAGGAUGAGCCCGCGUAGGAUUAGGUAGUUGGUGAGGUAAAGGCUCACCAAGCCGACGAUCCUUAGCUGGUCUGAGAGGAUGAUCAGCCACACUGGGACUGGGACACGGCCCAGACUACUGCGGGAGGGAGCAGUAGGGAAUAUUGGAAAAUGGGGGAAAGCAUGAUCCAGCAAUGCCGCGUGAGUGAUGAAGGCCUUAAGGUUGUAAAGCUCUUUUACCCGGGAUGAUAAUGACAGUACCGAGAGAAUAAGCUCCGGCUAACUCCGUG
rnacentral:rRNA from 1 species